GCUAUUGCUGCGUGUGUACGGUGCACUGUGCAUUGAUGGAAUAUUCUAUUUGAUAUCCAGCCAAUAUCUAAGAUUCUGCAGGAUGCGAGUGCAAGGCAUGUCAUGUAGCUUGGAACUCAAUUUCAAUUCUGUCUGGGUUGCUUAUCUCCUCGGUUCCCGCUAGAUGUCAUGUCAUGUCUGUCCACCCAGCAGGUUGUGUGCAACCGACGGAGUAUCCAUAACCUCCAAUGUCUAUCAAGGACGGAGUAACAUCAUGUUCUUGAUUAUCAAAUAUCAAUAGGUCAAUCCUCCAAGAUGAAAAUACUUGGACUGCUUGACUGCAUGCAUACCAGUAGUACAGACUCCGUACUCACGGCGCAAGUUUGGACGGAGUACGUACUCCGCGCACACGGAUUACUGCCAUCAAUUCGACAGCUUACCUAGGUUUUGAUGACUGUCCUUUCUGUACUGCAAAGUUCACAAUUCAUUGUUGAUUGAUCAUCAAGCGGCAAUUAUCCCGACUCGACCUACAGGAACUACCGCAGUACGUAGUAGACUCGGCGGGAAAAUAUUCAACAAACCGACCAAUCACCAGAUAGUUGAAACACUGAAAUCGGUUGAUAGCAAUGCAGGCUCCACUCGAGAAUUGAUUAAUAGUGUCUCCUGAAAAUAAGUUAGUUAGUUAGUUAGUUGCAUCGUCCGUAUGGCCAACGAACGCGCCGUGUUUCUUUGCUUUUCCCGCACGCAUACGGAUUACGGAGCCGGGAGCACGGAGUACAUACACAAAAAGAAAAAUGUGGCUGCGAGGCUAGUCCCAAACAAAGAGCCCAACGGUCGCCCACUCACGUCCUGGCGCUAAUGCAGGCAGCGAAUGGCCGCCUCUGUCGUUGCACUUGGCGACUAAGUUACUAGUCUACUACAGCAGUAGUUAACUGUUAAGUUACUAGUAUAUACGCACGCUCCUUGCUGAGUACGGAGUCCUACUUAGCAAUGGACUGCCAGUUUCGUACAAGUACUGCGGCACAAACGGGGCAAGCUAAGUCGUUCGUCUCAUCAAUUGUGUGGAGAAAUGUGGUACAAACGACAAAGCAGCGUUUACGAGUGUUUGCAAGUGCCCUGAUUAGGUUGUACGGAGUUCUGGUGUUAUGGCAUUGCAUUGAUGCUCACGGCCAGCCGAAUUCCUAAUUAUUGUACGUGGUAAGGCUUAUUUAUCGUCUUAAGAACGAAUCCGGUAGAGCGCCUUCCUUGCUUGAUGAAGCCAAAGCCGCACCUUCCUAUUCUGGUUACGGCUAGGGUUAGGGUUGUGGCUUCCACGACGUCCCCCAAAGGCUGCAUGCAACCUUGGUAUUAAUAAUGUUUAUCAUCUACUUCAACCACUCUUUUAACCAGGUGUGUGGACGUUGACUGGCUUUCUUUAUCCUCAGAAGGAAAGUCAUUUCAAAGGUCCUCCUCGAUCCCAAGGACAACCUUGUUUCAAUGUGCCACCUCGGCCGCAGAGUUCAGUUCGUCUGAUAUUUCACUUGGAUUCGCUCACUGAAAGUAGCUAGUUGACAGAUCUAUUCUGCCUUUGUUUGUUGUCGAUGGCCACCGCCGUACAUUGGACCAACGCUCUCAGCCCCUUGCUCAAAUGACUCAGACGUCUAUACCUUCAACCUCUUUCAUUGUUAUCCCCGCUGUCACCUGAUCACUCUCAGACUCAUCGUCUUCUCGGGGCGCAGCACGUACUC
rnacentral:lncRNA from 1 species